CGGUAGAAGAACGCCGCGGGCUGGUAUACGCAGGAACCGGCUGGGGCUUCUGGGCUGCGCGUGCGCAGUUGUCGUUGGUUGGGGGAGGUGCCGGUGCCUCCACCGCCCCCGCGGCCGGGUCUCCGUGGCCCGCUCGUUUGUCUGCUCCCGGCUGGGCGGUUAGCGCCGGUUUUGUGGGCACCUGCCUCUGGGGAGCUGUUUCCCCCGGGCUGCUCAAGCGAUACGGCAGCCGCUGACGUGGCGACGAGCCGUUCCAGCCGGUCCUCGCUCUCCGCCCGGAUUGGACUAGGCCGAGGUCGCCGGCUCGCAGCGGGUCAGGAGUGUGAGCUCAUGCCCCCUGUCCCCGGAACACCGCUUCCCUGAGGAAGGGAUGAGUGAAGAGCAAAGCAGCCUCUGAGCUCCUACUCCUUUAAGAACAGGGAAAGCAGAGGGUUGGAGCCAUGUAACCUUCUCAAGAUUGGGAGCGGACUGGAGGCCAACCAACCAUACAGCAGCUGAUAUAGGACACACUGGGGCAUCCAGGAGAGAGAAUGAUUGGUGGCAGGAACCUUACAAAAAGACGUAGAGUUCCCAUGAUAAAUAUAAAGUCCCAGAGGAUGCUGAAGAUGCUUAGAGAAGAUUUACUGAAGGUGUUUGAAGAAGUCUGCUCUGUAUCCUGCAAUAUCAACUUCAUCUCCACUGAAGGAAGGAGGCUCUCAAAUACACCAAAAAGAUGGAAAGUAAAAUGAACUUUCACAUCUUAGUCUAAAUCCAGUGAAAAUUCUGUCUCCUCCCAAACCAGCCCUAUGGAUUGAUAGUGUCACUGCUCUGGUGGAAGGAAGCUGUUGUGGAAGGUCAUGGAAGCGGAGGUGAUCCCAUGGAGAGCUGAGAAUGUCAGGACAGAGAAUUUGAGUUGGACUCUGUAUUCAGUGGGGAGCCAAUACAGAGUGAAAUACUGGGAUGAUGUGCUCAUGGAGAGGCUAUGGGGAAACACCCUCACCACAAAAAAGUGUGCCAUGAUCUGCAGAUGCACUCUAGAUGCUCUGUGUCAAACAAAUGACUGCUUUGUUCCUGACCUGAAGAGUUGACCAUUUAAGACCCUCAUUCUGCAGUUGGACCCAUGUGAGCAAAUCCUUAUGCCUGGCUGGAGCCUCAUUGUAUUCACUGGCACUUGGAAUGGGCAUGAGGAUCCAUCCAUGCAGGAUCAAGGCCAAUCCUAUAAAAUGCUGAGUAGGCCUGGCUUAAAAAAGGCUGCACAGAAGGAGAGACAUAGUCCAUCUGGGCAGCAUGGCUCAUAGAAGAGAAUGAGGACACCAGGCAACUGAAUUUUCAUGAGGCGUGGCAACAGCAUUUCCAGAAAUGUGCACAAAUGAUGAAGUGACUUGAACUCAGAACACACACAGAUUGGUCAGUGUGCCUCAGGGAAGAGGUUUUUGAAGGUGGAGAGUGGCUCUAGAAUUUUCAUUGGGAAGCUCUCCAAUGCAUGAGGGUACCAUGAAAGGGGGAACGAAGUAAGGAGCAGCUAGAGGCAGAUAUGGUGGAGUGCAAGAAUCACAAGCAGUGAAACCACUAGUGAAGAGACGAAGGGAAUUCCACAAACUUUGGUGAAACUGAAGGAAGAACUCCUCUUGCCUGCAGACUUAUGCAACAAAGUGGACUAUUCAUUUAAACAGUUAACAUAUUUUUAAAAAUCAUUUUACUGGCCACUUUCUGGUUUAAGACCCUACAAGCCAUUGAUGAAAGUAGUUUACUUCAAGACUCUGAAGUUACACUUGAUGAUGAAUCAAGGCUGAUGAAAUCACUUCUAAGUGCACUGGAGGGCCUUUGAGAAUCUUGGCCUCUGUUUUUUGACAAGUCAACAUUUGUAGCAGCUGGUCUGGGCCUUGAACAAGAUUUCAAAAAGAAAAGAGGAAAACUUUCCAUGAUGGAGAUGACCACUGCAUGUGGCCAGGAAAACCAAGAAACUUAAUUCAAAGUUGAUGUUUUUUACAUUGCUCUAGAUAUGCUUAUAUGCAAAAUUACAAGAAGAUCUGAAACAACUGAAAAAAUGAACAGCAUAUCUUCACUUAUUUGGAGCCUGACAAGAAAUGAUGGCAAGUACAGUAUCUCAAAAGUUCAAACUAUCAAAAUGCUACCAAUACAUUUGAUGGAAGAUGAUUCUGUUGAAGAAAUUCACCUUUUAAAAUAAGCUGAGAGAGUGACUAUUUGAAAAAGUGAUUUUAAUUAAGUUGUUAAACAAGACUUACGAAAAAGGACUGCAGAAUAUUUCCCCACAUCUGCAUUGCUCUAAGGAUUUUUGUCUCUAUGCUGAUUUUGGUUUCCCAAGAGGAGUGAUCCUUUAGCAAAUUAGCCCUGCUGCUGCGCUUUUUUUUUUUUUUAAAGCCUCCAAUCUACCAUGGGUAAAUAGCAUGUAUUGGCCUUAGUGAUGCUGUCGAUAGAGUAUGAUCUUGCAAGGAGCCUAAAUUAUAACUCAUUUGUUGCUAUCUUUUUGUUUUUGUAAAGAUGUGAUGUGAUUUCUUUUGUGAUAAUAAAUCAGCUUUAAAGUUUUCAA